rnacentral:rRNA from 1 species
UACGGAGGGUGCAAGCGUUUGUCCGGAUUUAUUGGGUUUAAAGGGUGCGUAGGCGGUUCUUUUAAGUCAGUGGUGAAAUACUGCAGCUCAACUGUAGCAUUGCCAUUGAUACUGAAGAACUUGAGUACAGAUGAGGUAGGCGGAAUUUAUGGUGUAGCGGUGAAAUGCAUAGAUACCAUAAAGAACACCGAUUGCGAAGGCAGCUUACUAAGCUGUAACUGACGCUGAGGCACGAAAGCGUGGGGAGCGAACAGG